GCCUCAAGGCCUGGGCUGCUGAUGACGAUCGAGGAUAGACUCGGCCGGCGGAAAGCAUGGCCCUUGGAUCUCCUUCAGGCGUGAACCAUCUAAUCUAGUUCCCGUUAUAUAUUUUAUAUGAGAUUUAGCGGGCACAGAAGCACGAUGUUGGAUUGACUCCAGGCGUCGGAAUUGGAACUCGAUGGUCUGCUUCUUUGCUACUAGUCUAAAACAAGUUGAUCUGUGUGCGUGUCUGGCCUGGACUGCUUGCUCUGCAGCUUUGGCGGCCAGAAUUGCAGGAAGUUAAAUGACCUGCUCUGUUUUUGCAAUUGUCUAGCAUGAUCUUCAAUAACUAUUUGAAAAUCGGUUCUAUACUUGGCCCUACUUUUAUUUGACUAAACUGAACCGAGCUUUAUGGUUUCUGUCUACCAUGUUAUCAUGCAUGAGAAUGUAUGUGCUCAAACUAUGGCUUGGUUGGCAUCAUCUAUCUAGUUUUGCACCGGUGAAGCUUUGCUCCAUUUGUUGGGUCAUGUCUACGUAUACCAGGAUUCUAGUUUUUUUUUCCUUGCGUGUUUAAAGAGUAGAGGAAUCUUGGCUGGAAGUGCUUAUUGUUAGAAAUUUCUGAUCAGCUCUACUAAUGCUGAUUCAUUGAAGUGGGCAUCAUGCUCAGCUACUCUGUUUUGAUUAUUCAUCUCAUAGGAUAUUUUCAUAUAUACACAUAUCUUGAUGCAUGUUCGUUGUAACUAGAUGGUGCCCAGUCCACCUCAUUCCAGUGUAGUCCUAGUGUGGAUGGUGGCAUUAGAGGGGACCCAAGAUGCCGACCUCCUAUUUUGGGAUGGCAGCAAGCAGCGGAAGAACUGCUCGCAAAGACGUCGUUCUUGACAGGAACUGACCGAUACAACCAUGAUGAAACUAGACCUGUAACUUCCAGGUCAAGGACCAAAUCGAGAGCUUAUUCUACUCACAUGUUACCUGAUGAAGGAGAAGCUGUAAAAGAGUUUUGGUUGGUACUGAAGCUGCAGAAAAGGCAACCAGGGGGCUCGGGAUUGGUUGACUUCUAUAACGUUUGUAGCUCUGGAAUUAGGAUGAUGGUUGAUCUGGGUUGCUAGUUUGGCUGACAUGUUGUACACAAAUCACAAGUAUAAUAGUAUGAGUGGUGACGUGCAUGUAAAGCGAGUUGUCUGUGUUGCGGUUCCUCAUGUACAAAUUCUGUUGG